rnacentral:rRNA from 1 species
UGGGGAAUAUUGCACAAUGGGCGCAAGCCUGAUGCAGCCAUGCCGCGUGUGUGAAGAAGGCCUUCGGGUUGUAAAGCACUUUCAGCGGGGAGGAAGGCGUUAAGGUUAAUAACCUUGGCGAUUGACGUUACCCGCAGAAGAAGCACCGGCUAACUCCGUGCCAGCAGCCGCGGUAAUACGGAGGGUGCAAGCGUUAAUCGGAAUGACUGGGCGUAAAGCGCACGCAGGCGGUCUGUCAAGUCGGAUGUGAAAUCCCCGGGCUCAACCUGGGAACUGCAUUCGAAACUGGCAGGCUAGAGUCUUGUAGAGGGGGGUAGAAUUCCAGGUGUAGCGGUGAAAUGCGUAGAGAUCUGGAGGAAUACCGGUGGCGAAGGCGGCCCCCUGGACGAAGACUGACGCUCAGGUGCGAAAGCGUGGGGAGCAAACAGG